CAAUAGCGUAUAUUAAAGCUGUUGCGGUUAAAAAGCUCGUAGUUGGAUUUCUGUCAAGGACAACUGGUCCGCCCUCCGGGUGAGCACAUAGUUUGGUCUUGACAUCUUGCUGGAAGCUGUUGCUGCACUUGGCUGUGUGGCGCAGUGUUCAGCACUUUCACUUUGAGGAAAUUGGAGUGUUUCAAGCAGGCACAUGCCUUUGGACACAGUAGCAUGGAAUAAUUAGAUUGGGCUUUUGCUCCAAUUUGUCGGUUUCUGGAGCUGAGGUGAGAAUUAAUGGGGAUUGUUGGGGGCAUCCGAAUUUAGCCGUCAGAGGUGAAAUUCUUGGAUCUGCUAAAGACGGACAACUGCGAAAGCGUUUGCCCAGGAUGUUUUCAUUGA
rnacentral:rRNA from 1 species